GUUCCUACGGGAGCAGCAGUGGGGGAUAUUGCACAAUGGGGGCAACCCUGAUGCAGCGACGCCGCGUGAGCGAUGGAGUACUUUGGUAUGUAAAGCUCUGUCAGCAGGGAAGAGAAUGACGGUACCUGGGGAGGAAGCUCCGGCUAACUACGUGCCAGCAGCCGCGGUAAUACGUAGGGAGCGAGCGUUGUCCGGAAUUACUGGGUGUAAAGGGAGCGUAGGCGGGACUGCAAGUUGGGGGUCAAAUCUACCGGCUCAACCGGUAGCCGCACUCAAAACUGCAGUUCUUGAGGGAGGUAGAGGCG
rnacentral:rRNA from 1 species